CCUACGGGAGGCAGCAGUGGGGAAUAUUGGACAAUGGGCGAAAGCCUGAUCCAGCAAUGCCGCGUGAGUGAUGAAGGCCUUCGGGUCGUAAAGCUCUUUUACCAGGGAUGAUAAUGACAGUACCUGGAGAAUAAGCUCCGGUUAACUCCGUGCCAGCAGCCGCGGUAAUACGGAGGGAGCUAGCGUUGUUCGGAAUUACUGGGCGUAAAGAGUACGUAGGCGGUUAUUCAAGUCAGAGGUGAAAGCCCGGGGCUCAACCCCGGAACUGCCUUUGAAACUAGAUAACUAGAGUCUUGGAGAGGUUAGUGGAAUUCCGAGUGUAGAGGUGAAAUUCGUAGAUAUUCGGAAGAACACCAGUGGCGAAGGCGACUAACUGGACAAGUACUGACGCUGAGGUACGAAAGCGUGGGGAGCAAACAGGAUUAGAUACCCUGGUAGUCCACGCCGUAAACGAUGAUAACUAGUUGUUCGGUCACUUGGUGACUGAGUGACGCAGCUAACGCAUUAAGUUAUCCGCCUGGGGGGUACGGUCGCAAGAUUAAAACUCAAAGGAAUUGACGG
rnacentral:rRNA from 1 species